CCCGGAGACACAAUCCGCAGCCCCCUGGGUCGGUGCAGUCACCAGCCAGUCCCCUGAGAACUUUCCCCUCCAGCACCCGGCAAAAUGGGAUUUUUGAUCCUUGUCAUUGUCGCUCUAGCAGCUUUGGAAGGUGUCCGGUCUCAGACGCUGGUGGAGUCCGGAGGGGAUGUGAAAAAGCCCGGAGACUCUCUCCGCCUCUCCUGCAAAGCCUCCGGCUUCACCUUCAGCAGCUACUACAUGAGCUGGGUCCGCCAGGCUCCCGGGAAGGGAUUAGAAUGGGUCGCUUAUAUAAGAUACGAUGGGAGUACUAUAUACUACCUCGAUGCAGUGAAAGGGCGAUUCACCAUCUCCAGGGAUAACGCCAAGAGUGAGCUGUACCUGCAAAUGACCGGCCUGAAGCCAGAGGACACCGCCCACUAUUACUGCGAGGGAGACACAGUGACACCAAACCG